AUUGAACGCUGGCGGCAGGCCUAACACAUGCAAGUCGAGCGGAUGAGGGGUGCUUGCACUCCGAUUCAGCGGCGGACGGGUGAGUAAUGCCUAGGAAUCUGCCCGAUAGUGGGGGACAACGUUUCGAAAGGAACGCUAAUACCGCAUACGUCCUACGGGAGAAAGUGGGGGCUCUGCGGACCUCACGCUAUCGGAUGGGCCUAGGUCGGAUUAGCUAGUUGGUGGGGUAAAGGCUCACCAAGGCGACGAUCCGUAACGGGUCUGAGAGGAUGAUCAGUCACACUGGAACUGAGACGCGGUCCAGACUCCUACGGGAGGCAGCAGUGGGGAAUAUUGGACAAUGGGCGAAAGCCUGAUCCAGCCAUGCCGCGUGUGUGAAGAAGGUCUUCGGAUUGUAAAGCACUUUAAGUCGGGAGGAAGGGCUGUAGGUUAAUACCUUGCAGCCUUGACGUUACCGACAGAAUAAGCACCGGCUAACUUCGUGCCAGCAGCCGCAGUAAGAC
rnacentral:rRNA from 1 species